CACGCAGGCGAUUCAUUGCAGGUAACUGAAGAGGAAAGAAGUGCGAUAGGGACAUAUUUAUCUAGGGGUCUUUGUCCUGUUAUUUCUUCCAUCCGCCACACAGCCUGUUUCACUCGGUCUAUGCCCAACCAACGACCGUUUGCAUUCAUAUUCAGGAACAUAUGCUGGCCAUACACAGGCCACAUAUAAAUAAUUCUUCUGCAGCCUUCUGGCUACGCAUGGAUACGUCACUGACAGCUUCGUUCUCUUGUGACUCAUUCAUCUCUCAUUUCAUUUCUCAUUUCAACUAUAAUAGGUAAGAAAGAAAAGCACACCAGGAGGCCGAAACGAGCAUACAAAAUAUUUCCCAAUCCCAAUGAUGAUCUAACGCACGAAAAAGGAAGAAGAUCGCAAAGAGGAAACAAAACGACAGAAAAAGAUGGUCAAUCGAUCACUCUCCCGUGAUCCUUCCCAAUACCUUAUCCUACAGGGCAAAGGAAAAAUAAAAGGAAAGAAAAAAAGGCGCAAACGAAGCCUCAAAAAGUGGAAACAAUAAAAAAGAAUUCCCAAGACAGAAAUAGGUGCACCAUUAUUCAUUCAACUGAACGUCCCCGGGAACCUGCCUCUCUCCACCAUUCGCAAUUUUGAUCCCGAAUCGCUCAUGGUCGUCCGCCACUUUCCUUCUGAAAAAAUUGAGAUCAAGCAGAAGGUCCUCCAUCUGCGCCUGCAUCUCCAUCGCUUCCAGUUCACCGGCAUCAGCAACGCUGGCAUAAUCGUCGCAAUCCUCCCAGAUCAGGUCGGGUUCUGUUGUAGGCAUGUCAUUCCCAUACUCCUCUUCAUCCAUAAUGCGCACACCGUCCGCAAUGUUCUCUUUUCCUGGAACGGAGAACAAAUCACUCUCUCUCGCCCGUUUGACUACCUCAACUGGCGGGAUGGGGUUUUUUAAACUCUCCAGAGCAAGCUUCAAGUGACGACGCAGAGCAUCAUUCUCCGUCUGUAACUGGCGUAUUUUGCAUUCACUGACCAUCUUGGUCUCUUCCAUCAACCGUUGCAGCUUGACGACUUGACCUUGAUACUCUUCUAGUUUUUCAUUCUUCAUCUCUGUUUCCCGUUUGCUGAUAGCCUGCUGGUUCACACUAAUCUGAAGCUCGCGGAUGAUCUCAGCCAUUUCGGCAAUCUGUGCAUCACGUUCAGCGGCUGAAACAUGAUCCUGGUUGACGACAGCGCGUGUACGGAUGUGCUUCGCUUGGUCUGCAUAGCGCAGGGUGGAGAGAGUUUCCUCAUAAUCUGACGGGGCUAUACAUGCAAUCAUGGCCGUUUUCGAAUUUCCUCCCAAGCUAUCCUUCAGUAACCAAGUCAGGAUAGAGUCACGGUAAGGGACAACUUCUUUGUUCUUGCGCGGUCGACCAGGUUUAUUAUCUGCUAAAGCGGCAAUAACGCGACCAAGGGUAGUAAGAGAUUUGUUGAUAUUAGAGCCUUCCCUUAGUCUCUGUCCCGUUGCUUCUGUUGCUUUGGCUCGUUCUGACCCGGCAAGAUCCACGAGUCUAAUCCGCGCUGUUCGUUCAGUCGUUUCAUCCAUCGAUAGGUCAUGAUGGAUUUGUUUCAGCAUGAUCGUGAAAACUGCAUGAGACCGUGAGCUUGUAUCGUUCAUUUUCGUGCUAGCGGUAGUACGAGAAGCAUCUCCUUUGCGCAUGAGCCGCAUAAUCUCUGAAUAGCUCCGUACUGGCACAUCUGUUAAAUCCUUUACAUACGGCCCGUCUGUUGGUGACUCUCUAAUCUUCAAGUAAUAUGGCGUGUCUGUGCGUGGUGCUAGCAGAUCUCGUACAUGCUCGUUGUAUACCUCGAAAUAUGAGACGCGGACAUUAUAACUGAUAUCAGGUGAUUCCGAACUCUCAAUGCGCUGGAACAGGUCCUCACAUGUCCGUGGAAUCAAACCAGGUUGCUCUUCUGUACCCAUCAUCGUGUAGCUUUUACCUGACCCAGUCUGGCCGUAUGCGAAGAUACAUGUGUGAUAUCCCUCGAAAUUGUGAUCCAAGAACUCCUCGCCGAGGCAAUUAUACACAUCUUCUUGCGUGGCGUAGUGCUCAUCAUUCUUAUCAUGAGACCAAAACGAAUUAUCGAACGUGAAAGUUUUAUUUUCGAGGACUUUCCCCCUGUUCUGUAUCCUGAAAUUAGCCGGAUCUGGUGCGCCAGAAUGGGGCCUAGCCAUGAGGGUGGUAGAUUGAGUCUCGGGAUUCAUCGAUAUAAGACAUUCCGUCCCUCGUUUGAUUUCUGUAAUCCGCCAAAUUUGCGGGCUGGCCGUUAGAA
rnacentral:sRNA from 1 species